rnacentral:rRNA from 1 species
AUGGGGUGACUGCGUACCUUUUGUAUAAUGGGUCAGCGACUUAUAUUCUGUAGCAAGGUUAACCGAAUAGGGGAGCCGAAGGGAAACCGAGUCUUAACUGGGCGUUAAGUUGCAGGGUAUAGACCCGAAACCCGGUGAUCUAGCCAUGGGCAGGUUGAAGGUUGGGUAACACUAACUGGAGGACCGAACCGACUAAUGUUGAAAAAUUAGCGGAUGACUUGUGGCUGGGGGUGAAAGGCCAAUCAAACCGGGAGAUAGCUGGUUCUCCCCGAAAGCUAUUUAGGUAGCGCCUCGUGAAUUCAUCUCCGGGGGUAGAGCACUGUUUCGGCAAGGGGGUCAUCCCGACUUACCAACCCGAUGCAAACUGCGAAUACCGGAGAAUGUUAUCACGGGAGACACACGGCGGGUGCUAACGUCCGUCGUGAAGAGGGAAACAACCCAGACCGCCAGCUAAGGUCCCAAAGUCAUGGUUAAGUGGGAAACGAUGUGGGAAGGCCCAGACAGCCAGGAUGUUGGCUUAGAAGCAGCCAUCAUUUAAAGAAAGCGUAAUAGCUCACUGGUCGAGUCGGCCUGCGCGGAAGAUGUAACGGGGCUAAACCAUGCACCGAAGCUGCGGCAGCGACACUAUGUGUUGUUGGGUAGGGGAGCGUUCUGUAAGCCUGUGAAGGUGGCCUGUGAGGGUUGCUGGAGGUAUCAGAAGUGCGAAUGCUGACAUAAGUAACGAUAAAGCGGGUGAAAAGCCCGCUCGCCGGAAGACCAAGGGUUCCUGUCCAACGUUAAUCGGGGCAGGGUGAGUCGACCCCUAAGGCGAGGCCGAAAGGCGUAGUCGAUGGGAAACAGGUUAAUAUUCCUGUACUUGGUGUUACUGCGAAGGGGGGACGGAGAAGGCUAUGUUGGCCGGGCGACGGUUGUCCCGGUUUAAGCGUGUAGGCUGGUUUUCCAGGCAAAUCCGGAAAACCAAGGCUGAGGCGUGAUGACGAGGCACUACGGUGCUGAAGCGACAAAUGCCCUGCUUCCAGGAAAAGCCUCUAAGCAUCAGGUAACAUCAAAUCGUACCCCAAACCGACACAGGUGGUCAGGUAGAGAAUACCAAGGCGCUUGAGAGAACUCGGGUGAAGGAACUAGGCAAAAUGGUGCCGUAACUUCGGGAGAAGGCACGCUGAUAUGUAGGUGAAGCGACUUGCUCGUGGAGCUGAAAUCAGUCGAAGAUACCAGCUGGCUGCAACUGUUUAUUAAAAACACAGCACUGUGCAAACACGAAAGUGGACGUAUACGGUGUGACGCCUGCCCGGUGCCGGAAGGUUAAUUGAUGGGGUUAGCGGUAACGCGAAGCUCUUGAUCGAAGCCCCGGUAAACGGCGGCCGUAACUAUAACGGUCCUAAGGUAGCGAAAUUCCUUGUCGGGUAAGUUCCGACCUGCACGAAUGGCGUAAUGAUGGCCAGGCUGUCUCCACCCGAGACUCAGUGAAAUUGAACUCGCUGUGAAGAUGCAGUGUACCCGCGGCAAGACGGAAAGACCCCGUGAACCUUUACUAUAGCUUGACACUGAACAUUGAGCCUUGAUGUGUAGGAUAGGUGGGAGGCUUUGAAGUGUGGACGCCAGUCUGCAUGGAGCCGACCUUGAAAUACCACCCUUUAAUGUUUGAUGUUCUAACGUUGGCCCGUAAUCCGGGUUGCGGACAGUGUCUGGUGGGUAGUUUGACUGGGGCGGUCUCCUCCUAAAGAGUAACGGAGGAGCACGAAGGUUGGCUAAUCCUGGUCGGACAUCAGGAGGUUAGUGCAAUGGCAUAAGCCAGCUUGACUGCGAGCGUGACGGCGCGAGCAGGUGCGAAAGCAGGUCAUAGUGAUCCGGUGGUUCUGAAUGGAAGGGCCAUCGCUCAACGGAUAAAAGGUACUCCGGGGAUAACAGGCUGAUACCGCCCAAGAGUUCAUAUCGACGGCGGUGUUUGGCACCUCGAUGUCGGCUCAUCACAUCCUGGGGCUGAAGUAGGUCCCAAGGGUAUGGCUGUUCGCCAUUUAAAGUGGUACGCGAGCUGGGUUUAGAACGUCGUGAGACAGUUCGGUCCCUAUCUGCCGUGGGCGCUGGAGAACUGAGGGGGGCUGCUCCUAGUACGAGAGGACCGGAGUGGACGCAUCACUGGUGUUCGGGUUGUCAUGCCAAUGGCACUGCCCGGUAGCUAAAUGCGGAAGAGAUAAGUGCUGAAAGCAUCUAAGCACGAAACUUGCCCCGAGAUGAGUUCUCCCUGACUCCUUGAGGGUCCUGAAGGAACGUUGAAGACGACGACGUUGAUAGGCCGGGUGUGUAAGCGCAGCGAUGCGUUGAGCUAACCGGUACUAAUGAACCGUGAGGCUUAACCUU